rnacentral:lncRNA from 1 species
GCCGCGGGUGGAUGCGCUAGCCAGCAUUCCACCGAAGGAGCUGCCACCGGGGGUGCUGCCGCCCGCGCGUCAGAUCUGAUCCCUUCCAAGCAGGUGCGGGUGCGGCGACGCGCCAUUGAAGCCCCUCCCUGGCCAGGUGAAUUUGGUAUGCCUCCUAUCCAUCUCCUUCCUACUUUUCGUUCCCGUUUGCUUGGAUUUCGCGAGAGAUUGCACAAAAUCCGCACAUGCGUUUCCCCCUUUGAUGGGAUUUCUGGUAAGGCUACAAUGAGGGUUCCCUCCAUUGACGAUAAGGUAGAAGAUCGAGUGAUUGCUGCUUCUGCAGCAGGGUCUUACUCUUACAUGAGGAAAUUGAGUGACGUGGUGUGUUCACCACCGAUCAACAGUCCGCGGGUUGCCGCUAAUGGAGUUGAUGCUUGCCUUUUGCAAUCUUCUAACCCUGUCCGCACACGUACUGCGGAUCCUUACUUUCGAGGGUGUAUUGUUAAAGAGAAGACGGGUUUUAGAAAGGUGUGUUCGUCUUCUGACGGAGCCCUAGAAAUAGAAGAGCAUUUCGGCCAGCUUUGGCUCAUUCCUUCCCCUCCCCGCCGCCACCUCCAUAACACACCCACUCCACCCCACAAAACUGGUAAUCCUGCCGGAUUCCUGUGUUGGAUCCGGAAAGAUCUCGUGGAGAAUAGAUCAUUCCUAGCAUCUGAUGUUAUCCGGCCUCCCAUUGUGUGUUUGAUCCCACUCCAAAAACCAUCAAGCUCGUCCGCGAGGGGAUUGGCCCCGGAUCCCUUUCCUUUGCUGAAGUGGUUAAACAAGGUUCGAAGAUGGCUGACCGUCAGGGUGCUAACCCUCCUGGUGUUGCUGGUCAAGCUAGGGGUGCGGUGCAGAAACCCGCGCUGGGUGCUGGUGGAUCUAAGCAAGCGUCGGCUCCGGGUAAAGAUCAUGUCCCUCCUCAACGGCCAACUAGAUCCACUGGAUCCACCGCCACCUCCUCUCAGGUCCAAUCCUCUCAGGUUAAUGAAGUGGAAAAAGAGCAGCCUCUAGACCCUAGAUAUAAGGAUAUGAUAUGUUUCAACUGUGGUGGUCAUGGGCAUCAUGUUGGUAAUUGUGUUAGGCCUAAAGUUUGUUUUAUCUAUCAGCAAUCCCACAAUGUCAACAAUUGCUCUGCUUGGUCUAGGGUUCAGCCCACUGCAGCUUUCUUUGGUAGUGGUGCUAGUGGUCUGGGAUUCUACCAUGUUGAGGUUCUUGUGGCAAAUGAAUCCAAAUGGCUUAACUUUCAAAAUGGUGGUGUGGUUAACAUUACCAAAGGUGAAGUGGACAAGGAAAAGUUGUUGAGUCUUCUGACUGCCACAUUCUGCAAAACCAGAGCUUGGCCUUGGCAGAUUAGAGAAUUGUCCAAUAAAGAAUAUCUGGUUAGAUUCCCUCCCUGAAAGAAAGUAGAGGACUUAAUUGAACUUCAUGGGUUCAGUUUGCCUCAAGAUGUAUCUGUCAAGAUGAAUGAAUGGGUUGGGUCGUGUGACCCCUUUGGAGAACUAACUGAGGCUUAGGUGCUGAUUGAGGGGAUCCCCCCUAAAUGGUGCUCUUGGAAAGUGUUUGCACAAAUUGCAUCCAUGUUUGGUGUGCUGACUGAUGUUGAUUGGAAUGGCAUGCUUAGGACAUUCUUUGAAAAUGUGAGGAUUAAGACUGCUUGCAGAAACCCUAGUAAAAUCCCUUUUGAGAGACUGAUUGAGAUGAAGAAGAAGUUAUUUCUGCUUGGUUUCACUGUAGAAGGCUUUGAGCAGGUGGGAGGUAAAGGAUCUGUGGUGGAAAUUGAAGAUGAGGAAGAGGAUGAUGACAUUGAUGAGGACAAUGGUAAUCAGGGACAGCAUGAUCUACCCAAGAAUGAUGAACAUGAUGAUCUCAUUGAUGAUGACACUGCCAUUGAUGAGCUUGAUAAAGCAAAUCUAACAACCAGGGGUGUCAAUGGAUCUUCUGCUGGAAAAAAAAUCCUGUAACACACUAACUGAAUGCCCUGAAUCUGAUCAUGAAAACUUCAUUCUGGAGUGCAUUUCAGGCAAAAUGGAGAAUGCUAUGGAGGUUUGUAUGAAUGAGAAGAUGCUUUCCCCUGAUAAUGAUAACUUGAUUAACAAAACAGAUGGGGUUUGUACUCCUGAAAAAACUUGGCCCAAAGGGGGUGGUGAGGUAAACCAAAGUGGUAGCAUGAGUUACUGUUUGGAAUUUCUGAAAUCAGUGGAUAUGUCUGUAUCUGAUGAGGAGGAAAGUGUGGGAUAGGAGGAAGUGGGAGUUCUCUCCCCUGGUAUAGUUCAGAAAAAUACAUGGGACUGGUAUAAAACGUUCUCUGCUAGAGACACUGAACCAAGCCCAAUUUGGGAGGAACAAAGAAGACAAAAACACAAAGUGGGGGCCUGUUCAAGCCCAUAAGCAUGAUACUAGACUUCAUGGAAAUGUGGACAUAAUUAAGAAAGUUGCCCAACAUAAGAUGAAGAAGAACCCAGAGAUUCCUCAAACCUUCAAAGGUAAAUCUUUCCUACUGUUGAUUCAACUCACCUUGCUAUUCAAGUUGCUCAAGUAGGUCUUGCCAUGGGUAGAAGUAAUGAUAAUAUGUAUGAAAUUAUAGAAGAUCUAAUGGUUAAAGAACAAAAGAAAUGCAUUGCUUUUGCUAAUGAUCAACCUGAAGUUGUUCUGCCUGCUAGUAUUGACCUGGCUCAAGAAGAGCUAGUUGGGACCCCUGCUAGAGAUUUUUCUGUGUCACUAGUUGGCACUGCUGAUGAUACAGACCAAUCCCCUGCUGUCCUUACUAAGGUUAAGCCUUGUGGCUUGUCUCACCCCUUUAGGAUACCCUGAUAUGAUAGGUCUCAUAUGGAAUAUUAGAGGUUUAAGUAAGCCUGGUAAAGUUCAGUGCAUGUGUGAUGUGAUUACUAAGUCUAACCCUGGUUUUAUUGGUUUUCAAGAAACAAAGAAAGAAAUAAUUUCUGAGGGUUUCCUCAGAUCCUUGGAUGCUAAGAAACACUUUAGUUGGCAUUUUCUUCCUGCUAUAGGAUCCGCUGGAGGUGUUUUGGUUGGCCUGAAAAAUGAUAUGUUUGAUGUGAUUGGGUUUACCAAUAAUAGAUUUUCUAUUAAAGCUACUAUUAAGAACAAAUGUGAUGGGUUUUUAUGGCAUUUGGUUAUUGUUUAUGGCUCUGCCUACCCUGAGUUCAAAUUGGAUUUUGUCUCUGAGCUGCAUGAUAUCUUUGACUCCAGUUCUUACCCCGUUUUAAUUUGUGGUGAUUUCAAUUUAGUUAGAGAGAGUAAGGAGAAAAGUAAUGGCCUUGUGGACCAGCAAAGUGCUUUGUUAUUCAAUGUCUGGAUUAAUAGAUGGGGGCUUAUGGAAAUUUCUAUUUCCAAUAGGAAGUAUACUUGGUCUAAUAAUCAGGAGAACCCAGUUUUUGCUGUUCUAGAUAGAAUCUUUACUUCCUUAGACUGGGAUGCUCACUUCCCCAUGUCCUCCCUUGUUGCACUGCCCAGGGUUGGCAGUGAUCAUGCCCCUUUGGUGCUGGACACUGGGGGUAGGAGACAUUUUUGGUCAAAAAUGUUCAAGUUUGAGAAAUGGUGGCUUUCCCAACCUGGCUUUAAUCAUAUUGUGGAAGAUGCAUGGAAUUCUGUUUCCUCUGAUGUUUCAUCUGUGGAAAAUUGGAUGCUCAAAUCUAGAAUUCUUAGGAAAAAGAUUAAAGGAUGGAGUAUUAACAUUGAAGCUUCUAUUAAGAACAGGAAGAAAGCCUUACUUGUGGAACUUGACAAGUUAGAUGUCUCUUCUAAGACUCAAAUCCUUUCCCCCAGUGAGUUUGCUAGAUUAGGAGAUAUUAAAAAGGAAUUGGAAGAUAUUUGGAAAAAGGAAGAAACUGCCUUGUGGCAGAGAUCUAGAGAUAGAAAAAUCCUGGAAGGUGAUAGGAACAAUGCCUAUUUUCAAGCCUUGGCUAAUCAUAGACACAGGAAAAACCACCUUGCAAAAUUGGAAGGCCCUAAUGGGAUAUUGACUUCUACUGAUGACAUGUUGAAAGUGGCUACUGACUUUUAUAAGAAUCUUUAUGCUUUUGAACCAAAACCUGACAUACACCUUGAGCCUGAUUUUUGGGAAGUUGAUGAGAUGGUUUCUGAACCUGACAGAGAUAACCUUGAAAAACCCUUUUCUGAGGAUGAAAUCAAACAAGCUGUCAUGAGCUCAUAUGCAUGUGGGGCCCCUGGCCCUGAUGGUCUAUCCUUUUUGUUUUACCAAUCUUUUUGGGAUAUCAUCAAAAAAGACUUCAUGUGGAUGGUCAGGGAUUUUGAAGCUGGUACUCUGGAUAUAUACAGACUUAACUUUGCCCUUAUUACCCUUAUCCCAAAAACUCCUUUGGCCAGAGAAAUGAAAAAUUUCAGGCCUAUUAGCCUUAGUAACUGUGUUGUUAAGAUCUUUUCUAAAGCUAUGACUACUAGAGUCUCUCCUCUAUGUGACAAACUAAUUUCCUCCAACCAGACUGCAUUCAUCAAAGGGAGGUUCAUUUUGGAAAGUGUUGUGAUGGCUCAUGAAGUGAUACAUGAGGUUCACGGGUUUGGGAGUAGUGGGCUAGUCCUUAAGCUGGACUAUGAGAAAGCAUAUGAUAGGGUGAAUUGGGAUUUUAUUAAAGAGAUGCUCCUUUCUAGGGUUUUGGCAACAAAUGGGUUAAUUGGGUUUUUAGUACCUUGUAUCAAGGGACCUUUUAGGUCAGAAUCAAUGACACUAAUGGGCCACAUUUUGUGGCUGGAAAAGGUUUAAAGCAGGGUGAUCCUCACUCUCCUUUAUUUUUUAACUUGGUUGCUGAUGUGUUUACCAAAAUGCUACCUAAAGCUGCUAGAUAUGGUUUAAUUGCUGGCCUUUUACCUCAGGUGAUCCCUGGGGGUGUCAUCAGCUUGCAAUAUGCUGAUGACACCAUCUUAUUCUUGCAAAAUUCAAUGGUUUAUGCCAGGAAUCUGAAAUGGAUUUGGACAUGCUUUGAGAACCUUUCUGGUAUGAAAAUUAAAUUUAAUAAAAGUGAUCUACACACUAUCAAUAUUCCCUGGAUAUCUCUAAUGAAUUUGCUCAGGUUUUUUGCUACCAGUUUGGGGAUUUUGCCUUUCAAAUAUCUUGGAGUGCCUCUUCAUUAUAAGAAGCUGAGGAGGGAGGGUAUUCAACAUAUUAUUGAUGGGAUUAUUAAAAAUAGUGCUGGCUGGUUAGGUAAACACCUUUCCUACAGGAGGGAAAUUGAUUCUUUUAACCAUAUGCAUUGCCAGCAUUCCUGCUUACUUGAUGUCUGUUAUGAAAUUUCCUAAAUGGGCCAUUGAUGCCAUUACAUCACAAAUGUCUCACUUCUUUUGGGGGAAUAUGGGGGAUAACCAUAAAUAUCAUCUUGCUAACUGGGGUUUGAUUGCUCGGAAAAAAGAAUUUGGGGGGUUGGGGGUUCCUAACCUUAGAGAGUAUAAUAUGGCCCUCCUGGCCUCAUGGGGGAGGAGAUUUUAUGAUGGGAGGAAUAGUGAUUGGAAGAAAAUUAUUAGAUUCAAAUAUGCUAUUGACAAACCCAAUAUCUAUUGGGGGAAACCUGCACUGGUACACGUCGGUUCUAAACAAACAGAUUUUAACCCCUUUCCGCGACGACAUUCGGAACCGUCGCCAAGUGAGUGUGGGCGAUAGGGGGGUCCUUCCCACAUGACCCAGAAACCGUUGGGGAUAUGCCCUCCUGGCACACACGCUCGGCAAAAUGAGGCCGUGUGCGACCGACGAGCACUCAAAUACAGAAAAUAGGUACAUUAGUGCUAAAAAAAUACAAUUAUACAGGCGAAAUCAUUUCCGAUCGUAAGUACAUCCCACACAGUCAGUCACCACUAAACGUUUCCGUUCGUAUAUACAUCCCACACAGUCACUACAAGGAAAACGUUUGCGCAAGGUGGCGUAACGCAAACAGUUUUGAAGAGAAUGUCGUGUGUGAUUGUUCAUUGAUCCAACACGGUUUAUUCCUAGAAACUGUGUGCGUUGCCUGAGGUCAUCGCCCACGGUGGUUUCUCAUUAACCGUUUGCAAUAGGAAAACCCAAUUAGCAAGCUAAUUGGCCAAUUAUUAAUAAUCCAUUUACUAAUCUAAUUUACAUUCAUAUUAAGCACAUAAUAUAUUCCAUUUCCAUAUUAAGGAAGCAGGAUUUCAUAAUUGAAAUACAUCGGAGUACAACAUGAUAUAGCUUCAGCACUCAGCUAGCCCAUUACACAACUGCACCAGCAGCAAGUUUCACAUGCAACAUCUAGAACAUUUCGAAAUUAGCAUCAUAGACGGUACAUAGAGAGAUGCAUCUCAUCUGGAAAACUGCUGAAGCGGAAGGCGAAUAUUGAGCCUUCAUUCAUGUUGAAGGUCUUUGCAACUUUAGUCCAGUGCCUGUGGAUGAUUGACCAUCCAUCCUUCGACCUCUUCAGGAACACUUCAAUAUUGAACCGUGGGUGUUGUAUGAAAACUUUCCUCGCCUCCUGACCACAGAGGUGGUUUGAGAGGUAUUCAUCAGUGAAGCCUGAAAACAAGGAUGUGCAUAAAUAUCUUCUCUAUAUUGGAAAUGGGGCAAAGAAAUACAAAAAGGCAAGGUAUAGUAGUUAGUACCAUCUUGUAAACCUCAAUGCUUCCCAUUGUUUCCCUGCAACACAUAUAAGGUAGUUAGUCAUCAGGUUAAGUAAGGGUUCGCAUCCUAUCAGUAAAAUAUGUUGAUGAUAAAUAAGCACAUUGCAGAUUCAUCAGAUUAAUUCAAACCACAUGGAAAACCCAUUUAUCCAAACCAAGCAUGAUUAAGAACUAGGAAAUAUAGCACUUGUAUAUGUUUCUCAUGUAUUAAGUGCAGCCAAAUUCGAUUUAUUCCUCACAUGGUAUACAAUAAUAGAAUGCAGCCACAACAAUUGAACAUCACAUUGCAGAAUUGAACCAAGCAGUUGUGACAGCCUGGUUUUUGCCCUCUCUCAUUUGCUUGAUUUUUAUUUGGAGUCAAUUUGAAAUUUGGAGUUUUUGAAUCUUUUCAUUUGGACUUAAACACUUGGGUCCCCUUGGCUUUCACCCAAGUGCUUCAUUUCCCUCCCUAAACAUCAUUCCCCUUCUGAUCCAUCCCAAAAUAAUCUUUGGAAUAUUUUUCUUAAAUGAAAAAUAUUUAUUUUUCUCCCAAAAACCCUAGCCAGAUCAGUAUGCUCCAAAGCAACCCCAACUUUUAUGGCCCAGAAAAAUCUGAGAUAAUUCACAAAUAUUCUUUGAACCCUAGGGCACCUUCCUGAGCAAAAAUAUUUCAUCACUUUUUGGAAUAUUUUUGCUACAGAAAAUAUUUUCUGUUCUGGACAAAAAUGGUGGUUUCUACAGCAACUACCAUUUUACUUGCUCCAUUGUGCCUGAGUUUUCUUGUGCAUUUUCACCUUAGUAGAUCAUGGCUAACCUCCAAAGCACAGCCUCCAACUCCCAACCAUUUGACCACAGUAACUGCUCAAAGUUACUGACCAGAAACUUACUUGGCAUGUAAAAACUUCUCUACUGCACCUGGAUCCAAACCAAAGCGUGGUAAACUUCAAAACCACCACGAACAACAUGCCAGACAUGAUUUUUGGACGUAGGCUGGCCUGAGGGAAGAGUUCGCGCGGUGACCACGCGUGUCCACCAUGUCAUGCCUGCGUGUCGACGCGCUCUGAGUGCCGCCGAGCGCUCUGUUCGCGCGUCCUCGCUUCCCCCGUCUGCCUGAGCGUGCCAAACUUCGCCACCAUCCUCGUCUCAACGCCAUUAACUCCCCUCUGGCGCUCGCCGACGCCGGAGCUCGCCGCAGCGAGCACGGGCACAGUCCGGCCAACCCAACAGUGCGGUGCACACUGUGCUCGUCGCCUUCUCCUCGUUCCUGUGCUCGUCCCCAUUCGCCAGCAGUUGCCGAGUGAGCUGCGUCGCCUUCUCCCCCCUCUCACUGACGCCGCUCGUCGCCGGGCGCCGUCGACAGGUGUCCACCGACGGAGCCCGAAGCCCCCUCUCCGCUCGCCUAUAAAUGGAGCCGCCCCCAGCCUCCUCGAGCACCAUCCAACACUCCCACACACCCCACAAGCACGUAGGAAGCCGUAGCCCGGCCGGGCAGGCCGCGGGCCACCGUCCUCGAGCUCGAGCUCGCCGGCGAUCCCCUCUGGUCGCCGCGGUAGCUCCAGCCCCUCCCAGGCCAGGGCGAACCUUCCAGGUCCUCCGCCUCUCUCCGGUGAAGCCAUCCCGUCCCUCUGGAGCCCCUGGAGUUGCCUCUGCCCACCGUCUUCCUCAUCUCCGGCGACCACCGCAUUCUGCCUCCGCUUGCGAGGUCGAAUCCGACGCCGUCCGACCACCCCUAGCUACGCUACGGGUACGGGCAGGUGCGCCUCCGUCCCCUCUUGCCAUCCCUCCCUCUUGUUUUGGCCAAGGAGCCCUCGUCGCCGCUGAGAGCUCCGGCGAAGCCGCGACUCCCUCUGUUUCCUUCUCCCCCUCCUCACCUGACUAGCGGGGCCCGCUAGUCAGCCACUCUGUACGCGCGCGAAGCGGUACGAGUGGUGGCGCCCCUGGGCUUUACGCCUUCGACGUCACCCCCCAGUCUGUUUAUUUUUAUUCAAAUUCAUUUGAAUUUACAUAACACUUCAAACAGCCAUAACUCUUCAACCAUAAGUCCAAAUGAAUUGAUUCUUUUUGCAUUUUGUUCUUUGCAAAGAAAUCUAGCAGCUCACCAAAGAUGAGAUUUUUCUGAGCUGUUUAGAAUUUUUGGUGAUUUUCAGAAGUGUUCUUGAUAUUUUCUUUUUGUGUUUAAAAUUAUUUUCAGAAGGUGAGGCUUGUCUUGAGGAUCACCAGAAGGCUUGUGAACCUCAUCUGCACUAAGGCAAGCCACAGCAACAUUUUCAUGGUGUCAUUUCAAUAUUUAUGAUUUUCUUACUUGAAUGAAAUGAUUAAUCCAUGCUAUGACACUUGAUGCAAAAUAUUUUAGUUAAAAUGUGAGUUACCUUGACCAGCAAAGUAAUAUAAGUUGUUGAUGUUUAUGCUUAGUGUGAAUAUGGAUGACAUCAGUCAUUUUCGUUAAUAAGUGAUGCAUGUGUAGUUUUGCAUUUCAUGGCAUGCUAUGACACCGGUCAUUUUCAUUUUAAGUUGAACCUGAAUAUAACUCAACUUGAAUAUAUUGUUGACUGGGUCAUGGUGCCGCUGAAUCGAGUUUUUCCUAGUGCAACCACAUUUGCCUUUGUGGGAAGGCCUUGAUUUGGUCCAUUGACAUUGCCUCUGGUCGGUGCCUCCAACUAGGGAAGGUUAUGGCAUGCUUACCCUGGCCCGGUAAGCAGGCAUAACCUUGUGUGCCCGUUGUUGAGAUUAUGGUAUCGGGUCCCCGAGUGGGAUCAUUUUGGCCACGACGGUGGUCGUUGUGUCUUUGGUAGACACAAGGCCACCUAGGACUAGCCCGUUGGGGAUUGGGUCGGAGUGGCCGGGAGAGUGUCAUGGAAAUGGAAGGGUUUCGUCGGAAUGCCGUUGGUCCACCCGAAUGGGAGUGCGAGGCCAUGGGUUCCGUGGUGUGGGUACAGUGUGCUACCUCUGCAGAGUGUAUAAUCUAUCGAUAGCCGAGUCCACGGUCACGGACACCUUGUAGUAGGUCCCACCAUGAGUCAACGUUUAAUAAAAUAUGCACACUAAGUUAUGAACUUUGCACUGUUGAUGAUGGCUGAAAGGCCAUUGAGAUGUUCGGGACCAAAUAUUGGUCGUGGUUGUGAUCGCCGUAAGGAUCACGAGUUACUCUUGUCAAGACCACGAUGGUGGUUUGUUUGUGAUCCGAGGAUGAUCACGGUUGGUAAGUCCGUCCCGAGGGACGUUCGAGCAUGAUCACAGCAUGUUGGAUAGUGUUGCAUUAUUAUUAAUUGGUUAAUUAUCAUGAUAUUGUUUGCCAUUAUGAUUAUGCCUGUUGUGAGCUUGCAAGUACAUUCAAUGUACUGACCUGGCAUGUCAUGCCAGAUUUUAGGAAAGUCUCGUUGGAGAGGAGCGCUGCUCGAGUCUAGAUCGUGUCCACAUCGGUGUCCCUGUGAUAUGGAGCUUCCGCUACGACGUUAUUCCGCUGUCGCGUAGUUGUUAUGAUCGAGGCCCCUUUAUGUUCACUAAAUAAUGUACAUAUUGUUCAGCCGCACCGGGCGUGCCGUUUGGCCUCGACAACUGUUGUAAUAUAAACUCUGAUCCGCUAGCAUCAAUAAAGCGGUUGUUUUCUGUACCAAGAUGUUGUGUGUUGCCAGAAGACAUGGUCUCUGGGCUGGCAAUGCAUGGUAAACCGGUCGCUCUGAGCCGGGGUGCCACAAUGUUUGGUAUCAGAGCCGCACUGACUGUAGGCCAUGCUAGACUACGACGUGUUAACUGGACGUUAGAUACGAGUUUAAGUUGAGUGCCGGUAGCAAUUGUAGCUGGUUGUUGCAUUGCAUGCAUUUGGUUUAUAUUUUUAUGCUAACCUGCUAAUGGUUGUGAGUGUAGAUGGCUCCGGUGCCGUAUCCGUGCCAGUUGCAGCCGAUGCCGUACACGUCACCGCACCUCCUUCGCAACGUGUGGCGUCGGCUGUACCCUCUCGGAGACGACCCAGUCUAUCGUGUGUACCGGGAGCGUCUAGCUGAUUCGGUGUAUGAGUAUCACGCAGUGGUCACUCUGUGCACUAGUUCCGAUUCCAGCUCUUACACUCGUACUUCUCGGAGCGGUUAUGCCUCCACCGCUUCUCAGGCUGUCCAGUUUGCUGCAUUCGAGGUCCUUGUCGAGCUUCGCUACAACGAGGUCUGAAUGCAGAACCACCGAGGUUUCUAUUACUACCCUUCUCUGCACGAUAAUGGUCGUGUCCGUUUCCCUAUCAUUGAUCCGGAGUCUGAUAGUGUUGCUAGCCACCUUGCUCAUUAUGUCACUGCUAGCUAUCUUAUGAUCCACGAGCUGGCGCGAGAGCUGACUCGUGCCCGUACUGCUUUAGCCACUGCUUUAGUCACUACUAGAUCUGCCACUACUCCAUCUUCUCUGGGAUUUACCCCUUAUAUUCCAGCCAGUUCUAGUUCCCCUAUUUCACCAGUUACUCCUCCGAGUAGCACGGGCGUCUCGGCCGUGAAUCCUCUCAGUACUCCUGCCGAGUGGGUUUCACUUCUCGCUACUCCUGUAGCCCCGAUGCUUCAUCCUACCCCUGCCCCUGAGGGAGAGCCCUCAAGGCAGCGCCGUCAUGUUACCUUUAACCCGGAGGUUUCCGUUAACCUCGUCAGUUUAGGAUCCGAGACCGCUUCAGGGGAGGACACCGCAGCACCAGCAGAGCAGUAGUAUCUUUGAGUAUUCGUAGUCGUCCGGAUGAUGUACGGAUGUAGUCGUACGAGUCAUGAGGCUUCAUUGCAUGUAUGAGAGUAGUUGAACCUGGCGUGUUGUUUAUCUUUCAUGUAUGAGUCUAUGUAUAAUUAUGUUGGGACUUUAUUCAUCGUAUUUUCUUCGCUCUUUUGUUUUCUUCCGGGAUUUGUUGCUGGCUUUUCCCCAAAUUUAUUCUUGGAUGUUUCUCAUCUCGAUUGCGUUGUCUUGGGAAAAAUCCACAAUAGGAUGACGCGGGGAGGCAACAAUAGCAACGUUCGUGAGGGAACUCCUGUUCGUCGUUCCGCACGACAGGCAGGACAUUCUCCCGAGCCGUACAUUCCGCCACCACCUCCACCGCCAAAUCCGCCCUCCACCGAGCAAAUUCUGCGUAUGUUUGAGGAAAGAAGGAACAAUGAUCUGAUCAAAAUAUUAAGAAGUGUGCAAGCUAUGGUUGGACAAAAUGGAAAUCAGAACGGUUAUCACUCAAAGCUGUCAGAUUUUCAAAGGACCAAGCCACCCAGUUUCAGUCAGAUUGUUGACCCAUUGGAUGCAGACGAUUGGUUGCGUACCAUUGAGAAAAAGCUUGAGAUUGCUCGUACUGAAGAAAAUGAUAAAGUUCCAUUUGCAACUCCUUACCUUGAAGGCGCAGCUGCCAUAUGGUGUGAAAAUGCAAAAGCCGUGUGGCCUGUUGAUGAAGAAAUCACCUGGGAAAAGUUUAAGGAUCAGUUCCGGAAAUAUCAUAUCCCUACUGGAGUUAUGAAGACCAAGCAGCGUGAAUUUCUCGCACUCGUCCAAGGAAAUCAGUCCGUGGGUGAAUAUUUGCAAAAAUUCAAUCAUCUGGCCCGUUACUCUCUUUAUGACGUGGCCACCGAAGAAAGGAAGAUUGACAGAUUCCUUGGAGGCUUAAAUCCGCAACUCCGGUGUACUCUCAGUAUGCUUGAUUUCCCAGAUUUCCAAACUCUGGUGAACAAGGCUUUCAUUGCUGAACGGGAGCACAAGCUUAUAUCAGAUAAUAGGCCUGUUAACAACAACAACAAGCAUAAGUUUGAGCCAAAGAAGGAUGGACAACCAGUGCAAAAGGCUCGUACCUGGCAGCAGACAAAGGUGGAAUACAAGCCAAAUUGGCAACAAAAUGUUAACAAGACCAGCACUCAGGUCAAGAAUGUCGUGACCAACCCAAUGCAUGAGGAGCGUCAGCGCAAUAAUUCUUGCUUCAGUUGUGGGCAGAACGGACAUUAUGCAGGCAGUGCCCCAAGAACAACAAGGCGAAUGCCCUAAUCAGGCCACAAGUCAACUUUAUGGAGUCAUACCCGACCCAGCAAAACUUCACUGGGCAUGUGCAUCAUAUCUCCGCCGAUGAAGCCCAAGAGAAACCAGAAGUCGUCAUUGGUAUGUUUUCUGUUAAUGACAUACCUGCCGUAAUUUUAUUUGACUUUGGGGCUUCCCAUUCUUUUAUUUCUCGGAGUUUUGCUGCCCAAAACAAAUUUCCUUGUACGCUUUUGGGCAAAAAUAUGCUGGUACAAACCCCGGGAUCCAUAAUCAAGAGCAAUCUUGUCUGCCGUGAUCUGGAAAUCAAUAUCAACGGAGUCUACUUUCCAACCUCUCUGAUAAUCAUUGAGUCUGAAAAGUUGGAUAUUAUAUUGGGUAUGAAUUGGUUGACCAAAUAUCAAGUUUGCAUAAACUGCGCAACACGAGAAGUCACUUUGACUAGUCUGAAUGGGCAGACUACCAAAUUCUAUGCUCGCAAGAAUAUACCCAAGCAAGAAUUGGUUUGCACUGCUGUGGCUGAGUUGGAAUUAAUCCCUGUGGUCAGCGAGUACCCUGAUGUAUUUCCAGAAGAACUGCCAGGCAUGCCACCAGAUCGGGAACUGGAAUUUGCAAUAGAUCUUGUGCCCGGAACUGCACCGUUAUACAAGAAGUACUACCGGAUGCCCUCAUCAGAAUUAGUGGAGCUAAAGAAACAGCUUGAUGAACUGCUCCAGAAAGGAUAUAUUCGUCCCAGCUCUUCACCAUGGGGAUCACCUGCUAUUUUCGUGGACAAAAAGGAUGGCAGUCUCCGCAUGCGCGUAGAUUACCGCCAGCUGAAUGAGGUCACCAUCAAAAAUAAAUAUCCGCUGCCAAGGAUUGUUGAUCUGUUUGAUCAGCUCAGUGGGGCUAAAGUAUUCUCUAAGAUCGAUUUACGGACCGGAUAUCAUCAGCUCAAGAUUAAAAAGGAGGAUAUUCCUAAGACCGCAUUCACUACUCGGUACGGUCUUUAUGAAUAUACCGUGAUGUCCUUUGGUCUCACCAAUGCCCCUGCCUUCUUCAUGCAUAUGAUGAACAAAGUAUUCAUGGACUUCCUCGACAAAUUCGUGGUAGUCUUCAUCGAUGACAUCCUCAUUUACUCCACGGGUGAAGAAGAGCACAAGGAUCACCUCCGAGCAGUGCUACAACGACUCCGCGACCAUCAGCUAUACGCCAAAUUCAGUAAAUGCGAAUUUUGCCUCAAGCAAGUUGGGUUUCUCGGACAUGUACUAUCCGCCGAAGGUAUAGCCGUGGACCCGAGCAAAGUAAAGGAUGUGCUCGAUUGGGUGCCGCCCACGACCGUGACGUAGAUCCAGAGUUUUCUCGGAUUAGCUGGAUAUUACCGUCGUUUCAUUGAAGGGUUUUCCAAGAUUGCUAAACCCAUGACGGAGCUGCUCAAAAAGGAUAAGAAGUUUGAAUGGACGGAGGAUUGUGAGAAAUUUUUUAAUGAGCUAAAGAUACGUCUGACAACCGCACCUGUGUUGACUCUUCCAGACAUCUAUCGCAGUUUUGAUGUGUAUUGCGACGCCUCCAGGCAAGGCAUUGGUUGCGUACUCAUGCAAGACAGCAAGGUAGUAGAAUAUGCAUCGCGACAGCUACGACCCCACGAGGGAAAUUAUCCUACUCAUGAUUUGGAAUUGGCUGCGGUGGUUCAUGCGCUAAAAAUUUGGAGACACUACCUCAUUGGAAAAUGGUGCCAAAUUUUUACCGACCACAAAAGUCUCAAAUACAUCUUUACUCAGCCAGAUUUAAACCUCCGUCAACGAAGAUGGCUAGAGUUGGUCAAGGAUUAUGACCUUGGAAUAAAUUACCACCCGGGUAAGGCCAACGUGGUUGCCGAUGCACUCAGUCAAAAACCCGUCAGCUUGAAUGUCAUAUUGAAAUCCUUGCCUCCUGAACUCCAAGAGGAGAUUGCUCAGCUCAACCUGGUCAUAGUGGAUGCUGGCCUCGCCAAUAUUUUGGAAGUUACCCCCACACUUGAGGUAGAGUUCCGCAAGGCCCAGCCAGCUGACGCCGAGCUGCAAAGACGUGCCAAGGGCCAGAUGGCAGAACAGACCCCAGAUUUCUCCAAGGACAAAUUCGGUACCCUCCGAUUCCGUGGACGGAUUUGUGUACCCAAUCAACCAGACUUAAGGAAGAAAAUCCUGUCAGAAGCACACGAAUCCUCAUAUUCCAUUCACCCGGGAGGUACGAAAAUGUAUGAGGACCUUAGACAAAUAUUCUGGUGGGAUGGAAUGAAGAAAGACAUUGCCUAUUUUGUGGCCUGUUGCGACAUAUGUAACAAGGUGAAGGCAGAACAUCAGAAGCCAGCCAGACUCCUCCAACCGCUGCCGGUUUCACAAUGGAAAUGGGAUGACAUUUGUUGGAUUUCAUUACGGGAUUGCCUAAGACUCAGUGAGGCAAUGAUGCAAUCUGGGUCAUAGUGGACACCCUAACCAAGGUUGCUCACUUCAUUCCGAUCAGCACCAGAUACAGAGCAGAUCAACUUGCACAGCUGUAUGUAUCCAGGAUAGUCAGUCUGCAUGGAGUACCCCGAACUAUCACUUCCGACCGAGGUUCCCUGUUCACCUCCGCUUUUUGGUCAUGCCUCCAUCAAGCCUUGGGGACAGCACUGAAAUAUAGUACUACUUAUCAUCCUCAGACGGAUGGACAGAUAGAACGGGUAAAUCAAAUACUUGAAGAUAUGUUGCGAGCCUGUGCUUUAGCCCAAGGACCUAAAUGGGAAGACUGCUUGCCAUAUGCCGAGUUUUCCUAUAACAACAGCUUCCAGACCAGUCUAAAAACGUCACCGUAUGAAGCUCUGUAUGGCCGUAAGUGCCGCACUCCUUUAAAUUGGUCUCAAAUUGGAGAUAGCCGUAUCUUCGGAACAGAUCUCAUGAUGGAAGCUGAGAAAAAAGUUAAGGAAAUCAGAGACCGAUUGCAAUUGGCCAAAUCUCGACAGAAAAGUUAUUAUGAUGCAAAGCACCGACAGAUCCAUUUUGAACCCGGAGAACACGUAUACCUCCGAGUCACUCCUAUGAAAGGAGUCAAGAGAUUUCAGACUCGUGGAAAGUUGGCACCCAGAUUUAUUGGUCCAUUCCCGGUUAUGUCUCGAGUGGGUACUGUUGCAUAUCAAUUGGAACUACCCGCUGAAUUGUCAGACGUGCACAACGUGUUUCAUGUUUCACAAUUGAGACUAUGCAUAUCCCCGCCUAAGAAAAGGACUGCUAUGGCUGAGGUAGAGUUGGCAAAUGAUUUAACUUAUGAAGAGAGACCGUUUAGAAUUUUGGAUCAGAUGGAAAGGGUCACUCGCAGUAAAGUAAGGAAAUUUUACAAAGUUCAGUGGGAGCAUCACACAGAGUCAGAAUCAACUUGGGAGCGGGAAGAAUGUCUACAGUCACAUUAUCCAGAGUGGUUUUCCCAAGCAACCGAAUCUUGAGGACGAGAUUCAUUCUAAGUGGGGGAGGUUUCUGACAGCCUGGUUUUUGCCCUCUCUCAUUUGCUUGAUUUUUAUUUGGAGUCAAUUUGAAAUUUGGAGUUUUUGAAUAUUUUCAUUUGGACUUAAACACUUGGGUCCCCUUGGCUUUCACCCAAGUGCUUCAUUUCCCGCCCUAAACAUCAUUCCCCUUCUGACCCACCCCAAAAUAAUCUUUGGAAUAUUUUUCGUAAAUGAAAAAUAUUCAUUUUUCUCCCAAAAACCCUAGCCAGAUCAGUAUGCUCCAAAGCAACCCCAAAUUUUAUGGCCCAGAAAAAUCUGAGAUAAUUCACAAAUAUUCUUUGAACCCUAGGGCACCUCCCCGAGCAAAAAUAUUUCAUCACUUUUUGGAAUAUUUUUGCUACAGAAAAUAUUUUCUGUUCUGGACAGAAAUGGUGGUUUCUACAGCAACUACCAUUUUACUUGCUCCAUUGUGCCUGGGUUUUCUUGUGCAUUUUCACCUUAGUAGAUCAUGGCUAACCUCCAAAGUAUAGCCUCCAACUCCCACCCAUUUGACCACAGUAACUGCUCAAAGUUAGUGACCAGAAACUUACUUGGCAUGUAAAAACUUCUCUACUACACCUGGAUCCAAACCAAAGCGUGGUAAACUUCAAAACCACCACAAACAACAUGCCAAACAUGAUUUUUGGACGUAUGCUGGCCUGAGGGAAGAGUUCGCGCGAUGACCACGCGUGUCCACCAUGUCAUGCCUGCGUGUCGACGCGCUCUGAGUGCCGCCGAGAGCUCUGUUCGCGCGUGCUCGCUUCCCCCGUCUGCCCGAGCGUGCCAAACUUCGCCACCAUCCUCGUCUCAACGCCAUUAACUCCCCUCUGGCGCUCGCCGACGCCGGAGCUCGCCGCAGCGAGCACGGGCACGGUCCGGCCAACCCAACAGUGCGGUGCGCACUCUGCUCGUCGCCUUCUCCUCGUUCCUGUGCUUGUCCCCGUUCGCCAACAGUUGCCGUGUGAGCUGCGUCGCCUUCUCCCCCUCUCACUAACGCCGCUCGUCGUUGGGCGCCGUGGACAGGUGUCCACCGGCGGAGCCCGAAACCCCCUCUCCGCUCGCCUAUAAAUGGAGCCGCCCCCAGCCUCCUCGAGCACCAUCCAGCACUCCCACACACCCCACAAGCACGUAGGAAGCCGUAGCCCGGCCGGGCAGGCCGCGGGCUGCCGUCCUCGAGCUCGAGCUCGCCGGCGAUCCCCUCUAGUCGCCGCGGUAGCUACAGCCCCUCCCAGGCCAGGGCGACCCUUCCAGGGCCUCCGCCUUUCUCCGGUGAAGCCAUCCCGUCCCUCUGGAGCCCCUGGAGUUGCCUCUGCCCGCCGUCUUCCUCAUCUCCGGCGACCACCGCGUUCUGCCUCCCGCUUGCGAGGUCGAAUCCGACGUCGUCCGACCACCCCUAGAUACGCUACGGGUACGGGCAGGUGCGCCUCCGUCCCCUCUUGCCAUUCCUCCCUCUCGUUUUGGCCAAGGAGUCCUCGUCGCCGGCGAGAGCUCCGGCGAAGCCGCGACUCCCUCUGUUUCCUUCUCCCCCCUCCUCACCUGACUAGCGGGGCCUGCUAGUCAGCCGCUCUGUACGCGCGUGAAGCGGUACGAGUGGUGGCGCCCCUGGGCUUUACGCCUUCGACGUCACCCCCCAGUCUGUUUAUUUUUAUCCAAAUUCAUUUGAAUUUACAGAACACUUCAAACAACCAUAACUCUUCAACCAUAAGUCCAAAUGAAUUGAUUCUUUUUGCAUUUUCUUCUUUGCAAAGAAAUCUAGCAGCUCACCAAAGAUGAGAUUUUUCUGAGCUGUUUAGAAUUUCUGGUGAUUUUCAGAAGUGUUCUUGAUAUUUUCCUUUUGUGUUUAAAAUUAUUUUCAGAAGGUGAGGCUUGUCUUGAGGAUCACCAGAAGGCUUGUGAACCUCAUCUGCACUAAGGCAAGCCACAGCAACAUUUUCAUGGUGUCAUUUCAAUACUUAUGAUUUUCUUACUUGAAUGAAAUGAUUAAUCCAUGCAUUUAAAUAACUAUUAUGUUAUUUAUAUUCUAUUAAGUGUUUGUUAGUUAUUGUGUUUGAUUUACAAAAUGUUGAAACUAGCUUAGUUGGUAAAGCAAAGCUAAGAUCUAUUUGUGGUGAUAAAAAUAAUUUUGUUAUGCAUGUUAGGAAUUACUUAAAGUUAUUUUCUUACAUAAAUAAAAUGGUAAAAAUUUGUUAGAAAAUAUAUUGUUAUGUACUUGUUUAGUCAUUUUAUUUGACUUACAUAAUGUUUGAACCUAACUUGGUUGGUAAAGAAAUUAGGAUUUGUUUGUGGUAUAAUCUUUGCUAUGCAUGUGAGAAAUUAAUCAGAGUUACGUUCUUGCAUGAGCAAAUAAUAAAACUUGCUGCAAAAUAUUUUGGUUAAAAUGUGAGUUACCUUGACCAGCAAAGUAAUAUAAGUUGUUGAUGUUUAUGCUUAGUGUGAAUAUGGAUGACAUCAGUCAUUUUCGUUAAUAAGUGAUGGAUGUGUAGUUUUGCAUUUCAUGGCAUGCUAUGACACCAGUCAUUUUCAUUUUAAGUUGAACCUGAAUAUAAUUCAACUUGAAUAUAUCGUUGACUGGGUCAUGGUGCCGCUGAAUCGAGUUUUUCCCAGUGCAACCACAUUUGCCUUUGUGGGAAGGCCUUGAUUCGGUCCAUUGACAUUGCCUCUGGUCGGUGCCUCCAACUAGGGAAGGUUAUGGCAUGCUUACCCUAGCCCGGUAAGCAGGCAUAACCUUGUGUGCCCGUUGUUGAGAUUAUGGUACCGGGUCCCCGAGUGAGAUCGUUUUGGCCACGACGGUGGUCGUUGUGUCUUUGGUAGACACGGGGCCACCCAGGACUAGCCCGUUGGGGAUUGGGUCGGAGUGGCUGGGAGAGUGUCAUGGCAAUGGAAGGGUUUCGUCGGAAUGCCGUUGGUCCACCCGAAUGGGAGUGCGAGGCCAUGGGUUCCGUGGUGUGGGUACAGUGUGCUACCUCUGCAGAGUGUGUAAUCUAUCGAUAGCCGAGUCCACGGUCACGGACACCUCGUAGUAGGUCCCACCAUGAGUCAAUGUUUAAUAAAAUCUGCACACUAAGUUAUGAACUUUGCACUGUUGAUGAUGGCUGAAAGGCCAUCGAGAUGUUCGGGACCAAAUAUUGGUCGUGGUUGUGAUCGCCGUAAGGAUCACGAGUUACUCUUGUCAAGACCACGAUGGUGGUUUGUUUGUGAUCCGAGGAUGAUCACGGUUGGUAAGUCCGUCCCGAGGGACGUUCGAGCAUGAUCACAGCAUGUUGGACAUAUAGUGUUGCAUUAUUAUUAAUUGGUUAAUUAUCAUGAUAUUGUUUGCCAUUAUGAUUAUGCCUGUUGUGAGCUUGCAAGUACAUUCAAUGUACUGACCUGGCGUGUCAUGCCAGAUUUCAGGAAAGUCUCGUUGGAGAGGAGCGCUGCUCGAGUCUAGAUCGUGUCCACAUCGGUGUCCCUGUGAUAUGGAGCUUCCUCUACGACGUUAUUACGCUGCCGCGUAGUUGUUAGGAUCGAGGCCCCUUUAUGUUCACUAAAUAAUGUACAUAUUGUUCAGCCGCACCGGGCGUGCCGCUUGGCCUCGACAACUGUUGUAAUAUAAACUCUGAUCCGCUAGCAUCAAUAAAGCGGUUGUUUUAUGUACCAAGAUGUUGUGUGUUGCCAGAAGACAUGGUCU